GUGCGGAAGUUAAUGGCAAACGUCGGCCGAUUAAGGCAGUUCCCUCAAAGCCGGAGUCUGGGUUCGAUUCCCAGCCGCACACCA
rnacentral:tRNA from 1 species